UUACGUGAAUACAUGUGUGCAGUGCGGGACGUCUGUUCCAAUAUGUUUGUUGACUGUUGUAGUGUGCAUACUGUUGUCACUGUACUCUGUGUGUGUGUGCGCGCUUUUAUGCUUGUGGAUGUCAAACAGUGUGUGCAUGAAGCUGUAUGAAUGCUCGGUCUCUAUUGUGAUACACAGAGACUUAAAGAAUAAAUACAGACCUUUUUUACCACUGUGUUACACAAGUCUUGCGUACCUUGCCUCUAUUCAAACCGUUUGGCAGAAUGGAGUUUCCCUAAGUUAUUCCUAGCGACGAUCAACUGUCCUCAUUGUGUCUUAAACAACAUUUGCGUCGGACUGAUGACGGGAAGAUAGUGAGUAGACACUAAAAUAAACAUCUGUGUGUGAACGGAGAUUUGAAAAGGAUGCACUAUGGGCACUUUUAUGAGCUCUACACUCGUCUGACUGACCCGCCGAUAUUCGAUGGACCAGUAAUAGAACAGAACGCCUUCUACUUCACCUGUGACCUGACCUUCGGCGGCAGUAACCCCAAUCAAGCCUUUGAGUUCGUCUCAAAACAUGCAGCAAAAAUGUAUUUGGCUUGUAGAGCAGAAAAUAGAAAAAUGACCUCAUCCACAGUGCCGAAAAAAAAAGUCCAUCAAUCGAUUUUAUAUCACAGCUACCAUCGAUGGCCGUCGAUAUAGCAACGCGGUGAAUGUGACUGUCUACGAACUCAAUCCGAAGGAUAACUCGCAGGUGGCUUGUCGUGCGCGCUCAAUUUUCACUGACCGUGAUGUUUUCAGUCCCUAUAUGGUCAGCAAUAUUAUCUCAAUGGCAGGUCCCUGAUAGCAGGAGAAAAACUGUCACAGUAUGACGUGUCAGGAAGGUUUGAUGAAAGUUCUUUUUUGGAUGCAGUAAUCAGACAACAAAAAUGUUGGAACAUGGAAAGUGUCUUCUGUACGUCAAUGUUAACAAUAAAAAAGGUUGUAAAAA